rnacentral:rRNA from 1 species
UACGGAGGGGGCGAGCGUUAUUCGGAAUUAUUGGGCGUAAAGGGCGCGUAGGCGGCUGUACAAGUCAAAGGUGAAAAUCCCCUCGGCUCAACUGAGGAACUGCCUUUUGAAAACUGUACGCUUGAGGCCGGGAGGGGGGUAGCGGAAUUCCCAGUGUAGCGGUGAAAAUGCGUAGAUACUGGGGAGGGAACACCCAGUGGGCGAAAGGGCGGCUACCCUGGGACCCGGGUUUCUGACGC